GCUUUCGGGCUUCGACCGGCGUACGGGUGCGUAACGCGUAUACAAUCUGCCUUUCACAUAGGGAUAGCCCGAAGAAAUUUGGAUUAAUACCUAAUGGUAUAUAAGUGUGGCAUCACAUUUAUAUUAAAGCUGAGGCGGUGAAAGAUGAGUAUGCGUUCUAUUAGCUAGUUGGAGAGGUAACGGCUCCCCAAGGCUACGAUAGAUAGGGGUUCUGAGAGGGAUAUCCCCCACACUGGUACUGAGAUACGGACCAGACUCCUACGGGAGGCAGCAGUGAGGAAUAUUGGACAAUGGUCGGAAGACUGAUCCAGCCAUGCCGCGUGCAGGAAGACGGCCUUAUGGGUUGCAAACUGCUUUUGCAGGGGAAGAAUAAGGAGUACGUGUACUUUGAUGACGGUACUCUGCGAAUAAGCAUCGGCUAACUCCGUGCCAGCAGCCGCGGUAAUACGGAGGAUGCGAGCGUUAUCCGGAAUCAUUGGGUUUAAAGGGUCCGUAGGCGGGCUAAUAAGUCAGAGGUGAAAGCGCUCAGCUCAACUGAGCAACUGCCUUUGAAACUGUUAGUCUUGAAUGGUU
rnacentral:rRNA from 1 species